GAUGAACGCUGGCGGCGUGCCUAAUACAUGCAAGUCGAGCGAACAGACGAGGAGCUUGCUCCUUUGACGUUAGCGGCGGACGGGUGAGUAACACGUAGGUAACCUACCUAUAAGACUGGGAUAACUUCGGGAAACCGGAGCUAAUACCGGAUAAUAUUUCGAACCGCAUGGUUCGAUAGUGAAAGAUGGCUUUGCUAUCACUUAUAGAUGGACCUGCGCCGUAUUAGCUAGUUGGUAAGGUAACGGCUUACCAAGGCAACGAUACGUAGCCGACCUGAGAGGGUGAUCGGCCACACUGGAACUGAGACACGGUCCAGACUCCUACGGGAGGCAGCAGUAGGGAAUCUUCCGAAAUGGGCGAAAGCCUGACGGAGCAACGCCGCGUGAGUGAUGAAGGUCUUCGGAUCGUAAAACUCUGUUAUUAGGGAAGAACAAACGUGUAAGUAACUGUGCACGUCUUGACGGUACCUAAUCAGAAAGCCACGGCUAACUACGUG
rnacentral:rRNA from 1 species